CAAAGCUUUGAUUGACAGAGGAAGUAACCAAUCAUGAAACGAUUACAAGGAUUCAACUUACGUCAGUAAAGUGUACUUCUGCGCAAAUCUACAGAAGCGCAUGGAGAGAAAUGCCCACGCCCCCUCCGUGCGCGUUUGUUUGUUUGGGUAGCAUAGCAGCCGGCUAAGCUCUCCGGAGCCGCUGAGAAACCUCUUCAAAUGUUAGAUAUAACAUCUCCAUUGUGGAUCGUGGACUACAGAUGACUUUUUUGUGUUGAAAGUGUUUUGGAGAAGUUGAUAAAGAGCAUGAUAGCGGAUCAACAAUGCAAGACUGGAUGUAAACAAAGCGCGUCGUCGAGGAGAGAUGGAACGGAUUAUGAGCUCAGCUGCGCUCGCUUGGAUAAAGACUUCAGCUGACUGACAGAGGAGGACUGGAAUCUGGAGUGCAUUCAUGAGCGACCAUAUUCAAAAUAGCAAGUAUUUUGUUAUAAUGUGCAAAUGUUUUUUUCUGAAAUAGUUUUUUCUAUGUGCUUUGGUGGGCAGAGAAGUUCUGAAUUGAUAUACAUAAUGUAAUAUGUAGUCCUGACUCAUUUUCUUUUUAUAAUCAUGUCAUAUUGUUAUCAUGUGUAUAUUUGGAGUUUCCAAGUGCACUUUUUCUGAAAGGACGCCUGGACUUUUUUGAAAUAAAAGCUCACAGAAACAACA